GCUGCUACGCCACCUAUCACCAGGUGGGUUACGAUCAUCAGGCCUUGUGCCACCACCCCAGCGAUCAGAAUCUGCAGGAGGCUGCCUGGUGCCACCACUGCCCCAGCGAUCAGUGUCUGAAGUAGGAGCAUGCCUUGUGCCCCCACUGCCCCACCUGUCAGCGUCUGAAGAGAGCUGCCUGGUGCCUCCACUGCUCCACCGAUCAGGAUCUGAAGGAGCCUGCCUAGUGCUUCCACCGCUCCACCGGUCAGAAUCUGGAGGAGCCUGGCCAGAGCCUUCUUUCUCUCGCCGGAACCUAGGCACAUACUUUCCAGGGGAUGUCACAGCUGCAGGAGCAGUAGCUCCAAGCUCUGGACGAGAUCCAGCAGGAAGUUCAGAAGGCCUAGAAGGCCCAUCAGCUGUUCUCCCCAAGAGAGCUUCUCG
rnacentral:misc_RNA from 1 species